UUUGGAGCAGGGAUGGAAACCUACUCCUCCUUCUCUCCUACCCCCAGUGUCUGACUGCCCAGUGUUGGUGCUCCAAGGGCACCAUGGGGGACAAGGGGCAGGCUCCAGGGUUAGAGAGAAUUGAAAGGUUAUGCAGACAUGCUGCCCUCCUCUUCCCUAACAGGAACAAGGAUGGAUUUUCAGCUCCUGAGAUCAUCAAAGGAAAAGAGAGAGAGGCUGGAGCUACAAGAAACUUACAUCCUCCUUAUGUUAGCCCGUAAGACUCCAUCAGUUCUUUCUCUGGAAGCAUAUGAUAUUUUUAUCAUGAAUCUUUGGAAUUGUCUCAGAUCACUGACUUGCUAAGAACUGCAAGGUUAUUUCAUAGUCGAGCAUCAUAAGAUAGUGCUGUUGCUGUGUACUACAUUCUUCUGGUUCGGCUCACUUCAUUUUUCAUCAGUUCAUAUCAUGUAUUUCUAGAGGGAGACAAAAGGGCAUAUGAGGAUACUGGACAUUUUUUUAAAAGAAGAAGAAAAUUAAGUGUAGAAAACAUUCUUGGGCACACUCCUUGAUCAGAAGGUCAUAAAUCUAGAGUGAGCAACAAUCCUUCAAAACCAUCUAGUCCAAAUUCAUUAUUUUAUAGUUGAGGAAAUAGUGACACAGAGAAUGGAAAUAACUUGCCCAAAGUCAUAGAAACAUAGACUCUCAGUCAGAACUGUCAGGGAUCUUGGAGGUUACCUCAUCCAAUCUCUAUCUGAACAGGAAUCCCUUUGUAAUAUCCCCCACAAGGAGUCAUUGCACCUCUCCUUGAAGGUUUCCCCCUUAGGUUAACGGCAGAACUGGGAUUUGUACCCAGUUUCUCAGACAGCAAUAGUCUUUCCAAUAAAUCACAAUGCCUUUCCAAAAGGUCACAACACCUUAAAAAGGAAGAGGAAUUGGUUCAGCCUGGAAAGCAAACUUUGUCAGUUUCCCUAAUUUUUCCUAGAGCUAGCUCAAUCUGUCCUCGGGGGGAAGAUGCUACUCAAUAAAGACUAGGAAGGUAAGAAAGAUGGGGCCAGGAUGAUACUUGCCAUAAAUUGGCAGCAAAGGAAUUGUCGGCCUUAUCAUUAUUAUCAUCCAUUUUUUAUUUAUAUGAGACAAGGUUCUCAAAUGAAAAGGCAGGAAGGAAAGCCAUGGAAGAUCUCAGAAGGGAUACAAAGGUUUGGAAGAGCUUCUGUGGAGAGUAGAGAGUAAGUUGAUAAAAAAAUAUAUAGUGGGAUUGCCUAGCAGCAGUAAGGGCUUACUUGAGGUUGUAUAGCCUAAAUUUGUAGUGGAUCCAGUCUGAAUGAUUGUGUGAUUUUCUCCACGUCUGUUUGGCAGCAUGUGGGUAGGAGCAAAGGUGACAGUUGGUGGGAGUGAUACAAGGCUAAAGCUUGACUGAGUGUAAUCAGUGAUACCCAUAAGAGAGUUAGAUAUUCAAGACAGGAAGACAGUGUAAAGUUGAAUGGGUUUACCAACGAAUCAAUAUGGAAAGAAGAGGGAAAAGUGUCUAGUGCAGGGGAUAUGACCUGGGAGAAAAUUGAGAAGUCAAGGAAUUGAAGAUCACGAUGCUAAUGAAGAAUAAUGCUAUGUAAGGGAAGGCAGAGGGAGAGAUGAAAAACCAAUAGAUUAUGGUCAGCUAGAGGUAUUUUGGAAUUCUCCAACAUGGAAGUGGUACAUGUGUGGGUGAUGACAAGAUCAAUGUGUGUGUGACUGAGGUGGGGUUGAGGAGUCCUCAUGGGAACUGAGUGGUUAGUGUUUGAGGAAGAAUCAGUAUGGAUGUUGAAGUCCCCUGGUACAAGGGCAGUUGUUGGGAAGGAGAGAGAAAUGGAAAGUUGAGUAUCAAACUCACCGAGGAAGGAAGGGGAGUGACCUGUGUGUCUAAAGACAACAGCUGCUAGGAUUUGGACUGGGUGGUAGAUAUAAAGAUCAUGAACCUUAGAGAAAGAGAAGGUAAUGAGUGAGGAAGGAAAGAGGAGAAUCUGGAAGUGGCCAUGGAGAACAAGAAAGAUUCUAACACCCCAACCUCAGCCAGGAAGCUGAAGAGAAUGAGCAAAGGUGCAACCAAUACUAGAAAUGGGAGGUCAGAGAGUCUGUGUUAUCAAGGAAUGGACAGGUUUCAAUAAGAGCUAGUAGAUGAAAAAUGAAAGAAGUGGGGGAGGAAUAGAUUUAAGAUAAAGGAAAAGAACAGCUAGGUAUCUCAGAGGAUAGAGAGCCAUGCCUGGAGAUGGGAGAUCCUGGGUUCAUCCUCAGAUAUUUCCUAGCUGUGUCAUCCUAGGUACAUCACUUAAGCCCAGCUGCCUACCUUUACCACUCUUCUCCCUUGGAAUCAACAUUUCAUAUCAAUUCUAAGACAGAAAGUAAGGAUUUAAAAAGAAAAAAGAUAAAGAGAAGUUUGUUGCCUAUGGAACAGGUAUUAUAGAGGGCACAAUGGAAGGUCUGAGCAAUUAAGAUGAAACUUUGGGGUGGGAAGGUUGAAAUGGAUGGGAGUAAGGAACCAGGUGGUAGGGGUAUGGAAUGGGGUUUGGAUGAUAACCUACAGGAGUUCAGAGUCAUUGCAAUAUAAAGGGUAUGACCAGGCAUGAGAAUGUUCAUUACUGAGUGAAGGGUGCCAUUCCUCUUCCCUCAAAGGACAAGCACAACAGGAGAUGAGAGGCCUAAAGCCAAAGGAAGGAUUCUUCUCGCCAAUGACUGUUCUCCACAUCCUGUUUGGGACAUUAGUCUGGCAGAAGGAGGUUGAUGGUGCUUUAUCCUGGGACAAAUGGAAGUGGUAACAUUAAAGCAGAUGGAAAAUGUC